rnacentral:rRNA from 1 species
GACGAACGCUGGCGGCGCGCCUAACACAUGCAAGUCGAACGGAGUUAUUUCAGCUGAAGCUUUCGGGUGGACGCAGGAAUAACUUAGUGGCGAACGGGUGAGUAACACGUGAGGAACCUGCCCUGGAGGUGGGGGACAACAGUUGGAAACGACUGCUAAUACCGCAUAAGCCCACAGCACCGCAUGGUGCAGAGGGAAAAGGAGCAAUUCGCUUCAGGAUGGCCUCGCCGUCCAAUUAGAUAGUAGGCGGGGUAACGGCCCACCUAGUCUUCGA